UCUAGAUAUGUCAGAUUGACGUUGAGCUGUCAAACAACAUUGGAUACAGAACCCCAUCUGUCACAUUCAUGGCUUUCCCCAUUUUUAACAUAACAGCGUUUUCCGCAGCGGUGUUGAGGGGAGUGUUGUACUGCGUAUGGCGGUAUGCCUUAUCCUCCCUAGUCAGUCUUCUUGGUGGCAUGGCAAUGGAUUGAAGAUUCUUAACUGAUUUAUGCCCUUUUUUUUUUUUUUCUUUUUCUUUUUUCGGGAAUCAGAGCGGAAUUGACUGACCCCCUCCCCUCCCUACUUGCGUCAUGUCUGAUUGAUUUACCCAGCAGCUCAGGGUAUUUAAGUUGUUGCGCUAGCAGGAAAUCCAUCUCAAUUCCACAGCUUUGUACUGUACUACAUUUUAUCCAUAUGCCACUAGUAACUGAUUAAUUGGCAUCACGAGCGUGGUUUUUGGCCUUCCAAGGACCAUCAAACACCUCAUUUUACCGUAUCCUCGAUAGAAAGCGCAUCAAUCGCGGUCGUCGCUGGGGAUUGUAACACGUACGGAAUGGUCGGUUUGGAAUUUGUUUAACUCCACGUAUGAGCGCCUACACACCUAUGGGAACAAGAGUAUGAACUUCGCAAUCUGCAGUAUUUUCGAGGUUUUGUGAGCCGAUGGCCGGAGAUUGCUGUUCAUCAAAAUGAAUAGGCCAGGUUAUACUCUGGUUAUACUCUGGUUUGUCCCACUCCGUCACAAUGCCCUGACCCGUCAGGAUACUACAUCGAUUACGUCGCGCAUCUACCUCACCCAUUAUGGAGUGGGGCAUUGAGAGUAGUCAUUGUUGAUGAGUCUUAAAAUCAGAUAAAUGUAACCAAUUGCAGACAUGAAUGUAUGCUGAGAAGGCAGAAACCGUGAGAAAAAAAUUAAGGCUGCCGAUUUCUUGCUUUCCGACAUCGACUAUUUGAAAGUGAGUGUGGGGAAAUAUCCAGUUCUCAUCAUCCUCAUUAAGAGGGAACGUUCCCAUUCAAUCGAAUUGUUGGUGAUCGUUAGAUGAAUAUGAAGAUAGUCGUGGCAGCAAUGUCAAGGAAAAGUAAAUACAUGAGAAAUAUUCGCUAUUGGUUGCAGAAUAAACGGGGGCGGAACUGAGAAAGGGAUUGGAGAAUAUAGAGACCAUGAAAUCGAAAGACAAGCGGAGUUCGUUGUGGAAGAAACACAUAGGUAUCUCUCCAGGGGUAGAAGAAAUGAAUUCCUUUGGAGAAAACUAGACAAUGUUAUAUGAAACAUAGAUAUCACGAGACAUGAGAAUGAAAAAAAAAAAAAAAAG
rnacentral:sRNA from 1 species